rnacentral:rRNA from 2 species
UGGGGGAUAUUGCACAAUGGGGGAAACCCUGAUGCAGCGACGCCGCGUGGAGGAAGAAGGUUUUCGGAUUGUAAACUCCUGUCGUUAGGGACGAUAAUGACGGUACCUAACAAGAAAGCACCGGCUAACUACGUGCCAGCAGCCGCGGUAAAACGUAGGGUGCAAGCGUUGUCCGGAAUUACUGGGUGUAAAGGGAGCGCAGGCGGACCGGCAAGUUGGAAGUGAAAACUAUGGGCUCAACCCAUAAAUUGCUUUCAAAACUGCUGGCCUUGAGUAGUGCAGAGGUAGGUGGAAUUCCCGGUGUAGCGGUGGAAUGCGUAGAUAUCGGGAGGAACACCAGUGGCGAAGGCGACCUACUGGGCACCAACUGACGCUGAGGCUCGAAAGCAUGGGUAGCAAACAGGAUUAGAUACCCUGGUAGUCCAUGCCGUAAACGAUGAUUACUAGGUGUUGGAGGAUUGACCCCUUCAGUGCCGCAGUUAACACAAUAAGUAAUCCACCUGGGGAGUACGACCGCAAGGUUGAAACUCAAAGGAAUUGACGGGGGCCCGCACAAGCAGUGGAGUAUGUGGUUUAAUUCGAAGCAACGCGAAGAACCUUACCAGGUCUUGACAUCCGAUGCAUAGCGCAGAGAUGCGUGAAGUCCUUCGGGACAUCGAGACAGGUGGUGCAUGGUUGUCGUCAGCUCGUGUCGUGAGAUGUUGGGUUAAGUCCCGCAACGAGCGCAACCCUUAUUGCCAGUUACUACGUAAGAGGACUCUGGCGAGACUGCCGUUGACAAAACGGAGGAAGGUGGGGAUGACGUCAAAUCAUCAUGCCCUUUAUGACCUGGGCUACACACGUACUACAAUGGCGUUUAACAAAGAGAAGCAAGACCGCGAGGUGGAGCAAAACUCAAAAACAACGUCUCAGUUCAGAUUGCAGGCUGCAACUCGCCUGCAUGAAGUCGGAAUUGCUAGUAAUCGCGGAUCAGCAUGCCGCGGUGAAUACGUUCCC